AUGACAGGGCCAAUUUGGCCAUCUAUUGAGGCCGAAAAUUGUGAGUUGAGGCCUGGACUUAUUGCUCUUGUAUUGCAGAAUCAGUUUAGAGGAUUACCCAAUGAAGACCCUCAUGAGCACAUUAGUAAUGUUCUGGAGUAUGCCAAUACAGUCCAGUACCAUGGCGUUUCCCAAGAUGCUAUCAAGUGUAUGUUGUUCACAUUCUCUCUCAGAGAUGCUGCUAAGGACUGGUACUAUUCUUUGCAAUCAAGAUCAUACACUUGGGGUGAUAUUUCGCAAGCUUUCCUGCAUAGAUAUUUUCCACUUUACAAGCAAGCUGCAAUUCGUGACCAGAUACUCAGUUUUGUGCAAGAUGGAAGUGAGAGCUUGUAUGCAGCUUGGGAGAGAUAUAAGUAUUUGCUUAGAAAAUGUCCUAAUCACGGGCAAAAGUAUUGGUUAGUGCUUCAGAUAUUCUAUAGAGGGCUGACACAUGCUUCAAGAGAUCUUAUUGAUAUGUCAGCUAGUGGAACAAUCAUGAACAAGACCGUUGAGGGUGCAAUUAUUCUCAUUGAGAGCAUUUCCUUCCACCAAAUGCAAUGGGGUUAUGAAAGGCCUAGUUCAAAUCCAAAGGUUGCAAGCUGUGUGCAAUCAGAAGCUGUGUGUUCCAUAAGUGAACAGGAAUCAUCCAUGGUGCCUAAUAUUCAAAACCAGCAUGUUUCAUUCCAGGGACAACAACAUUUCAGAACUGAAUUACAGCCUCCAUAUAGAAACAUUGAUCUUAUUUCAAUUAUCCUUGAUGAUGAUUAUGAUAUUUUCCAAGAUGAUGCAACCACUGUAGAUCAGAUGGAUACCACAGUAGCAGAUCCAAUACCUCAUGGCAAUGAAAUUAAAAAGAGUAUCUCAGAGAAGAAUAGUGAAGAUGAGAUUCCAACUCCUGCACAUACAAUUAAACAAGUCGGAGACAUUCCAAGGAGAGAGAUACAAGAGGUUGAGUUAAAUUUAGAAGAGCUGAUACUUCAAUAUCCUGAGAAGAUCCCAUGUGUUGCUGAGCUGCAUGACUGGUGGAAGUCAUCGGUGUCACUGUUGAAACUUAGCAAUGAUGGUGAUGAGGAGAACAUUUCUCAGAAAGACAGCGAGGUAGUGAUCUCACCACCCCUACCAGAUCAUGUUAGUGAAUAUUCACACAUGGGGACACUUCAGACUCAAUUAAGUGUUGCUGGUAGUAGCACCAUAGAAGAUCCAGAGGAAGAGAGACCUCAGAUUGAAGAUGUACUCGAAGCCAAGGCACAAGAUGAUCCAGAGUUCGAACAACCAAGUAAUCAAGUUGAAGACUCAUCAUCUACUACUCUUGAAGAAGCAAAAGAAGCUGCUGUAGAUGAACUUGAAGAACCAGAAAUUCAUUUGCCUAUUGUCACACAAGAGCGUGAUGUAGCAGGUUUAUCUAAUCCUCUUAAUGACAUGUCUUCAUAUGAUUUGUUUGCUACAACCUUGCAUUGCAUGAUGCCAUCACUUAAGGUAGAUUUGAAAAAAUAUUUGCUUGGACAUGAUCAUACAUACAUUGUUGGUGGCAUUGCUCUCAUUCCUGAUGAUGACACUUAUUUUCCUUAUGCUAGUCCUAUGCUUAAUGAAACAUAUUAUUCCCAUGCUAGUCUUGAGCUUAAUGAUAAAUUUCAUCCUCAUGUUAGUGUCGACCUUGCUGAUUUCUACCAUCCUAAACAUGUGCUUUAUAGCUGUGCCUAUGUAAUUGGAUAUUCGAUUGAUGACUUGGAGGGUUCUUGCUUGUGCACGAAUCACUACAUGCUGACCAAGUUCGAGAUGACAUUCCCUGGGACCCCGGUGGACCCAUGGCAUGGGGAUGAGGAGAAGCAAGGAGCACACAUGAAGAGAGAAGCUGGAGCAGGCAUGAGGACAGGGAAGCAAAAGGAGAGGAGUCACAAUGCACGAGGAAGCAAAGGAGAAGAGUUGCAGUUUGGAGAGUGUCGAGCGAGUGCUACUUCCUAUAAAACCCGAUGGUGCUUGAUGAGAAUAUGCAAACUGAUUGUUGAAUGCCAUGUGUAUACCAUGUUCUCGGGAUCGGUGGCCUGGCAUCUCCAUUCCCCUCACCCCACCUUCUACACCACCGGCCGGCGCCGCGGCCAGGCCGGCGCUGCGGUGCGCCAACCAGUGCCACCCAGCCACCCAUCCUCGCCAUCUCCAUCACCCGCCGCUGCACCGUCCACCACCACCAUCUCCAGCGCCACACACCAGCGCCAUACCAUCCAUUCUGCCAACCUCCAGCGCCAUCGCAUCCACGGCGCGGCCGACCAGACAAGGUGUCUGGUGCUGCGCGCGAACCUGCCUUCUGCUGCUGCUCUUCCCUACUGCCCUUCUCUUCUUCCCCAUCGCCUUCCUGCUGCUCCCUCCGCCCAUCUGGCUGCUGCUCCUCCUCUGUUUCUCCUCUCACGACCCUGCUUGGUCUCGGCUGAAGCUUCUCUCUCAACGCCUCAUGCUGCUCCUCCUUCUCUGAACCUGCUGCUGCUCCCAACCCCCUGCUGCUAUCUCUCUACUUCCCCUGCUACCCUUCUUCUCUGA
rnacentral:rRNA from 1 species